UUAAUCGGGGCAGGGUGAGUCGACCCCUAAGGCGAGGCCGAAAGGCGUAGUCGAUGGGAAACGGGUUAAUAUUCCCGUACUUGGUGUUACUGCGAAGGGGGGACGGAGAAGGCUAUGUUGGCCGGGCGACGGUUGUCCCGGUUUAAGCGUGUAGGUGUGUGUUCCAGGUAAAUCCGGUUCACUUUAACACUGAGGCGUGAUGACGAGGCACUACGGUGCUGAAGCAACAAAUGCCCUGCUUCCAGGAAAAGCCUCUAAGCAUCAGGUAACAUCAAAUCGUACCCCAAACCGACACAGGUGGUCAGGUAGAGAAUACCAAGGCGCUUGAGAGAACUCGGGUGAAGGAACUAGGCAAAAUGGUGCCGUAACUUCGGGAGAAGGCACGCUGACACGUAGGUGAAGUGAUUUACUCAUGGAGCUGAAGUCAGUCGAAGAUACCAGCUGGCUGCAACUGUUUAUUAAAAACACAGCACUGUGCAAACACGAAAGUGGACGUAUACGGUGUGACGCCUGCCCGGUGCCGGAAGGUUAAUUGAUGGGGUCAGCGCAAGCGAAGCUCCUGAUCGAAGCCCCGGUAAACGGCGGCCGUAACUAUAACGGUCCUAAGGUAGCGAAAUUCCUUGUCGGGUAAGUUCCGACCUGCACGAAUGGCGUAAUGAUGGCCAGGCUGUCUCCACCCGAGACUCAGUGAAAUUGAACUCGCUGUGAAGAUGCAGUGUACCCGCGGCAAGACGGAAAGACCCCGUGAACCUUUACUAUAGCUUGACACUGAACAUUGAGCCUUGAUGUGUAGGAUAGGUGGGAGGCUUUGAAGUGUGGACGCCAGUCUGCAUGGAGCCGACCUUGAAAUACCACCCUUUAAUGUUUGAUGUUCUAACGUGGACCCGUUACCCGGGUUGCGGACAGUGUCUGGUGGGUAGUUUGACUGGGGCGGUCUCCUCCUAAAGAGUAACGGAGGAGCACGAAGGUUGGCUAAUCCUGGUCGGACAUCAGGAGGUUAGUGCAAUGGCAUAAGCCAGCUUGACUGCGAGCGUGACGGCGCGAGCAGGUGCGAAAGCAGGUCAUAGUGAUCCGGUGGUUCUGAAUGGAAGGGCCAUCGCUCAACGGAUAAAAGGUACUCCGGGGAUAACAGGCUGAUACCGCCCAAGAGUUCAUAUCGACGGCGGUGUUUGGCACCUCGAUGUCGGCUCAUCACAUCCUGGGGCUGAAGUAGGUCCCAAGGGUAUGGCUGUUCGCCAUUUAAAGUGGUACGCGAGCUGGGUUUAGAACGUCGUGAGACAGUUCGGUCCCUAUCUGCCGUGGGCGCUGGAGAACUGAGGGGGGCUGCUCCUAGUACGAGAGGACCGGAGUGGACGCAUCACUGGUGUUCGGGUUGUCAUGCCAAUGGCACUGCCCGGUAGCUAAAUGCGGAAGAGAUAAGUGCUGAAAGCAUCUAAGCACGAAACUUGCCCCGA
rnacentral:rRNA from 1 species